rnacentral:rRNA from 1 species
AGUGGGCCUAAAAGCAGCCAUCUUUAAAAUUGCGUCAAAGCUUAAUUGUUCUCACGCUUAAUCACCAGAUUUUAAUCUUAAUCCCCAAUCAAUACUGGGUAAUUCUAUAAAGCUAUAGAAAAUUUUAUGUUAAAACUAGUAACAAGAAGAGGACUCUUCUCUUAAAUGUAAGUGUACAUCAGAAAGGACAAACCACUGAUACUUAACAUCCAUGAGUCUAAAGUAGUAACCAACCAAGAAAACUCUACUUCCACCUAUGUUAACCUAACACAAGAACAUUUAAAGAAAGAUUAAAAGAAAAAGAAGGAACUCGGCAAAUAUUAACCUCGCCUGUUUACCAAAAACAUCGCCUCUUGAAUUUUAUAAGAGGUCCAGCCUGCCCAGUGACUCUGUUCAACGGCCGCGGUAUCCUAACCGUGCGAAGGUAGCGUAAUCACUUGUUCUUUAAAUGUGGACUAGUAUGAAUGGCACCACGAAGGUUAUACUGUCUCCUUUUUCUAAUCAGUGAAACUAAUCUCCCCGUGAAGAAGCGGGGAUAAAGCUAUAAGACGAGAAGACCCUAUGGAGCUUUAAACAACAUAGCACUUGCCACACACCAUUAAAAUUCCAGAAUCUUCAAUUCUCUGAGCAAUAUGACUAUAAGUUUUUGGUUGGGGUGACCGCGGAGCAUAACACAACCUCCAUGUUGAAAGAAUCAUUUUCUAAGCUAAGAACUACAACUCUAAGCAUCAACAUAUUGACAUCCAUUGACCCAAUACACUUGAACAACGAACCAAGUUACCCUAGGGAUAACAGCGCAAUCCACUUCAAGAGCUCCUAUCGACAAGUGGGUUUACGACCUCGAUGUUGGAUCAGGGUUUCCCAGUGGUGCAGCCGCUACUAAAGGUUCGUUUGUUCAACGAUUAAACCCCUACGUGAUCUGAGUUCAGACCGGAG